rnacentral:tRNA from 1 species
GGGGGUAUAGCUCAGUGGUAGAGCAUUUGACUGCAGAUCAAGAGGUUUCAGGUUCAAAUCCUGGUGCCCCCU